GAGUGAAAUAGAACCUGAAACCGUGUGCUUACAAGUAGUCAGAGCCCGUUAAUGGGUGAUGGCGUGCCUUUUGUAGAAUGAACCGGCGAGUUACGAUUUGAUGCAAGGUUAAGCAGUAAAUGUGGAGCCGUAGCGAAAGCGAGUCUGAAUAGGGCGUUUAGUAUUUGGUCGUAGACCCGAAACCAGGUGAUCUACCCUUGGUCAGGUUGAAGUUCAGGUAACACUGAAUGGAGGACCGAACCGACUUACGUUGAAAAGUGAGCGGAUGAACUGAGGGUAGCGGAGAAAUUCCAAUCGAACCUGGAGAUAGCUGGUUCUCUCCGAAAUAGCUUUAGGGCUAGCCUCAAGUGAUGAUUAUUGGAGGUAGAGCACUGUUUGGACGAGGGGCCCCUCUCGGGUUACCGAAUUCAGACAAACUCCGAAUGCCAAUUAAUUUAACUUGGGAGUCAGAACAUGGGUGAUAAGGUCCGUGUUCGAAAGGGAAACAGCCCAGACCACCAGCUAAGGUCCCAAAAUAUAUGUUAAGUGGAAAAGGAUGUGGCGUUGCCCAGACAACUAGGAUGUUGGCUUAGAAGCAGCCAUCAUUUAAAGAGUGCGUAAUAGCUCACUAGUCGAGUGACACUGCGCCGAAAAUGUACCGGGGCUAAACAUAUUACCGAAGCUGUGGAUUGUCCUUUGGACAAUGGUAGGAGAGCGUUCUAAGGGCGUUGAAGCAUGAUCGUAAGGACAUGUGGAGCGCUUAGAAGUGAGAAUGCCGGUGUGAGUAGCGAAAGACGGGUGAGAAUCCCGUCCACCGAUUGACUAAGGUUUCCAGAGGAAGGCUCGUCCGCUCUGGGUUAGUCGGGUCCUAAGCUGAGGCCGACAGGCGUAGGCGAUGGAUAACAGGUUGAUAUUCCUGUACCACCUAUAAUCGUUUUAAUCGAUGGGGGGACGCAGUAGGAUAGGCGAAGCGUGCGAUUGGAUUGCACGUCUAAGCAGUAAGGCUGAGUAUUAGGCAAAUCCGGUACUCGUUAAGGCUGAGCUGUGAUGGGGAGAAGACAUUGUGUCUUCGAGUCGUUGAUUUCACACUGCCGAGAAAAGCCUCUAGAUAGAAAAUAGGUGCCCGUACCGCAAACCGACACAGGUAGUCAAGAUGAGAAUUCUAAGGUGAGCGAGCGAACUCUCGUUAAGGAACUCGGCAAAAUGACCCCGUAACUUCGGGAGAAGGGGUGCUCUUUAGGGUUAACGCCCAGAAGAGCCGCAGUGAAUAGGCCCAAGCGACUGUUUAUCAAAAACACAGGUCUCUGCUAAACCGUAAGGUGAUGUAUAGGGGCUGACGCCUGCCCGGUGCUGGAAGGUUAAGAGGAGUGGUUAGCUUCUGCGAAGCUACGAAUCGAAGCCCCAGUAAACGGCGGCCGUAACUAUAACGGUCCUAAGGUAGCGAAAUUCCUUGUCGGGUAAGUUCCGACCCGCACGAAAGGCGUAACGAUUUGGGCACUGUCUCAACGAGAGACUCGGUGAAAUCAUAGUACCUGUGAAGAUGCAGGUUACCCGCGACAGGACGGAAAGACCCCGUGGAGCUUUACUGUAGCCUGAUAUUGAAAUUCGGCACAGCUUGUACAGGAUAGGUAGG
rnacentral:rRNA from 1 species